rnacentral:rRNA from 1 species
GACGAACGCUGGCGGCGUGCUUAACACAUGCAAGUCGAACGGAAAGGCCUGCUUUCCCUUGUGGAUUGCGGGUGCUCGAGUGGCGAACGGGUGAGUAACACGUGAGUGAUCUGCCCCCAACUUGGGUAUAAGCCUGGGAAACUGGGUCUAAUUCCCGAUAGGACUGCAGGGUGGUGCCUGUGGUGGAAAACGAUUUUCUAGUGGUUGGGGAUGAGCUCGCGGCCUAUCAGCUUGUUGGUGGGGUAAUGGCCUACCAAGGCGGCGACGGGUAGCCGGCCUGAGAGGGUGGACGGCCACAUUGGGACUGAGAUACGGCCCAGACUCCUACGGGAGGCAGCAGUGGGGAAUAUUGCACAAUGGGCGGAAGCCUGAUGCAGCGACGCCGCGUGGGGGAUGACGGCCUUCGGGUGGUAAACUCCUUUCGACCGCGAGGAAGCCACCUGGUUGGAAGGGUGGUGACGGUAGUGGUAGAAGAAGCACCGGCUAACUACGUG